CAGGUGUGUAAAUGUUAGUGCAGCGGUGUACCUGUGUGUACAGGUGUGUGCAGGUGUGUGAAUGCAGGUACAAGUCUGUGCAGGUGUGCACAGGUGUCUAAGUGUUAGUGCAGCGGUGUACCUGUGUGUACAGGUGUGUGCAGGUGUGUGAAUGCAGGUACAAGUCUGUGCAGGUGUGUUCAGGUGUGUAAAUGUUAGUGCAGCGGUGUACCUGUGUGUGCAGGUGUGUACAUGCAUAUAUAAGUGUGCACAGGUGCGUGCAGAUGUCUGCAGGUGUGCAGAGUUACAUGUAAGUGUCUACAGGUGCGUACAGGUGAAUGCAGGUGCGUGCAAGAGCACACAGGUGUGUACAGGUGUGUGUAUAUGUGUGUACAGGUGUGUCCAGGUGUGUCCAGGUGUGCACAGGUGUGUGUAUGGCUGUGUACACGUGUGUCUGUAAGUGUGUCAAGGUGUGUAUAUGUGUGUCCAGGUGCACACAGGUGUGUACAGGUGUGUGUAUAUGUGUGUAUAUGUGUCUAUAGGUGUGUGCAGGUGUGCACAGUGUGUCUAUAGAUGUGUGUAAGUGUGCACAGGUGUGUGUAGCUGUGUACACGUGUGUCUAUAAGUGUGCACAGGUGUGCACAGGUGUGUGCAGGUGUGUACAGGUGAGCUGAGCAUACAGCACAAGCUUUGUGCAGGGGUGUGCAGGUGUGCACAGGUGUGCACAGGUGUGCACAGGUGUGUGCAGGUGUGUGCAGCGA